GAGUUGGCAGCUCAGUGGUAGAGUGCAUGCUUUGUAUUUAAAAUGUCCUGAGUUCGAUCCCCAGCUUCUUCC